GUGCCCUCCCACGGGGCCCGCCGGGGGCCCGGUCCCGGGAAUGGCGUGAGCGUGAGCGGCGGCAGCGCCAGCGAGAGCCGGGAGAGCUUGGCUGUGAGGGGAGAGACCCGGUGAGCCCCUGCCUCGGGGAAAACUGAGGCAGGGCUCCUCACCCAGCUGCGUGUCCUCAGAUAUAAAAGAGAAGCGAGCGGAGAGACAGGGGAACCUCAUACCACCAAGAAACGAGAGCCAGGAGAAUAGAGCAUCCUUUGGACUUGGAAUCCCUGCCCUGAGAAGCUCCUCAACCAGGAAAAGAUUGAUGACAAGGACCUUCCUCCAGAGCCGACAGAGAGGGGAAAGCCUUCCCCUGGAGCUGACGCCCUGAAUUUGGACUUGCAGCCUACUAGACUUUCCGUUGCUGCUGUUAGCUGCUGUUGAGUUGGCUCCAGCUCAUGGUGAGCCCAUGUACAACAGAAGGAAAUCUUGCCUGGUCUUGCAUCUUCUUCACAAUCAUUGGUUUCUAAGAUCCAGGUCACUUCAUCAAGAGAAAAAAAAAAAAGCAAAACAAAACAAAAAAAAUCCAAACCCAUUGUUGUCAAGUGGAUUCUGAUUCAUGGCAACCCAAUGUGCUUCAGAGUAGAACUGCACUCCAUAGGUUUCCUUGGCUGUAAUCUUAUGGAAGCGGAUUACCAGGCCUUUCUUCUGUGGUACUUCUGACUGGAUUAGAACUGCCAACCUCAAGAGUCAUCCUGGCUUGCGUGAACACUGUCUGGGGCAAAUCCUUUCUUUGACAAGAUAAUAAUAGUGGCCACCUCUGACGGUCAUCGUGAGGAUUAAAUGAGUAAUUGCAUGACUCUCUUGGAAUGGAGCCUGGCAUGGACCUAAUUGCUCAGGCUAGGACCUCCAGCACAAUAUUGAAUAAGAGUGUAAACCAAUCACUUUUGAAAUAUAAAAGAGGGGAGUGAGCAGAGAGAUGUGUGGACCUCAUACCACCAAGAAACAAGAACCAGGAGAAUAGCAUGUCCUUUGGACCCAGAGUUUCUGUGCUGAGAAGUUUCUUGACCAGGGAAGAUUGAUGACAAGGACUUCCUCCAGAGAAAACAGAGAGAGAAAGCCUUCCCCUGCAUUUGGACUUGUAACCUCCUAGAACGUGAGAGAAUAAACUUCUGUUCGUUGAAGCUCUCCACUUGUGGUAUUUCUGUUACAGAAACACUAGAUGACUAAGACAGAUGGACAGAAUGAUGGAUGGAUGAAUGGAUGGAUGGAUGAACAGAUAAAGAGAUUGAUUGAUGGAUAAUUGAAUGGACAGAGAGAGGAGGGAAUGGUUGGAUGGAUGAAUGGAUAGGUGGUUGGAUGGAGAGAUGGAUGAAUGAAUGGAUGGAGUGGUGGAUAGAUGGAUAGAGAGGUGGGUGAAUCAUUGGAUGGAUGGGUGGAUGAUGGGAUGAAUGGAUGGAUGAUGAAUGGAUAGAUGCAUGGAUGGAUGAUAGAUGGAUCAGUGAAUGGGUGUAUUAUGGAUUGAAUUGUGUCCCCCCAAGAUAUGUGUUGUAAAUCCUAACUUCCGUGACUGUGGUUAUAAUCCCAUUUGGGAAUGACUUGUCUUUGUUAUGUGAAUGAGGCAGGAUUAGUAUCAGGUGUCUCUUGAGGCAACCUCUUUUGAGGUAUAAAAGAGAUUAAAGAAGCAAGUAAAGCAGAGAUGUGGGAAGAGCAAUGCCAAGCCACGUAAAGAUCACCCAGGAGCAGAAGGUCAAAGAGACAAGGACCUUCCUCCUGAGCCAGCAGAGAGAGAAAAAAAAAAUGCUUUCUCCUAGUGCCAGCACCCUGAAUUUGGACUUUUAGCCUCCUAAACUGUGAGAAAAUAAAUUCCUCUUUGUUAAAGCCACCCAUUUGUGAUAUUUCUAUUAUAGUAGCACCAGAUAACUAAGACAGAAUCUGGUACCGAGAAGUGGGGGUGCUGCUCUAACAAAUACCUACCACGUGGAAGUGGUUUUGGAAUUGAGUAAUGGCUAGAGGCUUAAAGAGUUUUAAGGUGCCUAAUAGUAAAAGCGUAGAUUGCCUUGAAGGGACUAUUGGUAGAAUUCUGAAAAUCAAAGACAAUUCUGGUGAGGGCUCAGAAGCAGUGAGGAGAGCUAUAGAGAAAGUCUUUGUCACCUUAGAGAAUACAUACGGCACCAGCAAUAGAAUGUUGCUAGAAAUAUGGAUGUUAAAUGUGCUUCUGGUGAGGCUUUAAAAGAAAAUAAUGAACGUGUGAUUGGACAAUGAAGGAAAGGUGAUGCUUUUCAUGCCGUGGCAAAGAAUUUGUCUGAAUUAUGUUCAAAUUUGUCUGUCAGUUUGUCGUACUGUGGGGGCUUGUGUGUUGCUGUGAUGCUGGAAGCUCUGCCACCGGUAUUCAGAUGCCAGCAGGGUCACCCAUGGAGGACAGGUUUCAUCUGAGCUUCCAGACUAAGACAGACUAGGAAGAAGGACCCGGCAGUCUACUUCUGAAAAGCAUUAGCCAGUGAAAACCCUAUGAAUAGCAGUGGAACACUGUCUGAUAUACUGCUGGAAGAUGAGCCCCCCAGGUUGAAAGGCACUCAAAAGAUGACUGGGGAAGAGCUGCCUCCUCAAAGUAGAGUCGACCUGAAUGACGUGGAUGGAGUAAAGCUUUCCGGACCUUCAUUUGUUGAUGUGGCGUGACUCAAAAUGAGAAGAAACAGCUGCAAACAUCCAUUAAUAAUCGGAACCUGGAAUGUACGAAGUAUGCAUCUAAGAAAAUUGGAAAUCAUCAAAAAUGAGAUGCAAUGCAUAAACAUCUAUAUCCUAGGCAUUAGUGAGCUGAAAUGGACUGGCACUGGCCAUUUUGAAUUGGGCAAUCAUAUAGUCUACUAUGCUGGGAAUGACAACUUGAAGAGGAAUGGUGUUGCAUUCAUCAUCAAAAAGAACGUUUCAAGAUCUAUCUUGAAGUACAACCCUGGCAGUGAUAGGAUUUUGUCCAUAUGCCUACAAGGAAGACCAGUUAAUACGACUAUUAUUCAAAUUUAUGCACCAACCACUAGGGCCAAAGAUGAAGAAAUAGAAGAUUUUUAUCAGCUGCUGCAGUCCGGAAUUGAUCGAACAUGCAAUCAAGGUGCAUUGAUAAUUACUGGCGACUGGAAUGCGAAAGUUGGAAACAAAGAAGGAUCAGUGGUUGGAAAAUAUGGCCUUGGUGAUAGAAACAAUGCCGGAGAUCGAAUGAUAGAAUUUUGCAAGACCAACAACUUCUUCAUUGCAAAUACUUUCUUUCACCAACAUAAACUAUGGUUAUACACAUGGACCUCGCCAGACGGAACACACAGAAAUCAAAUUGACUACAUCUGUGGAAAGAGACGAUGGAAAAGCUCAAUAUCAUCAGUGAGAACAAGGCCAGGGUCUGACUGUGGAACAGACCAUCGAUUGCUCCUUUGCAAGGUCAAGCUGAAACUGAAGAAAAUCAGAGCAAGUCUACAAGAGCCAAAAUAUGAUCUUGAGUAUACCCCACCUGAAUUUAGAGACCAUCUGAAGAAUAGAUACUACGAGUUGAACACGAGUGACCAAAGACCAGACGAAUUGUGGAAUGACAGCAAGGACAUCAUACAUGAAGAAAGCAAGAGGUCAUUAAAAAGACAGGUAAGAAAGAAAAUACCAAGACGGAUGUCAGAGGAGACUCUGAAACUUGGUCUCGAAUGUCGAGCAGCUAAAGCAAAAGGAAGAACUGAUGAAGUAAAAGAACUGAACUGAAGAUUUCAAAGGGUGCCUCGAGACGACAAAGUAAAGUAUUAUAAUGACAUGUGCAAAGAGCUGGAGAUGGAAAACCAAAAGGGAAGAACACGCUCGGUGUUUCUCAAGCUGAAAGAACUGAAGAAAAAAUUCAAGCCUCAAGUUGCAAUAGUGAAGGAUUCCAUGGGGAAAAUAUUAAAUGAUGCAGGAAGCAUCAAAAGAAGAUGGAAGGAAUACACAGAGUCAUUAUACCAAAAAGAACUAGUCGAUGUUCAACCAUUUCAAGAGGUGGCAUAUGAUUAGGAACCGAUGGUACUGAAGGAAGAAGUCCAAGCUGCUCUGAAGGCAUUGGCGAAAAACAAGGUUCCAGGAACUGAUGGAAUAUCAAUUGAGAUGUUUCAACAAACAGAGGCUGCACUGGAGGUGCUCAUUUGUCUAUCCGAAGAAAUGUGAAAGACAGCUUCUUGGCCAACUGACUGGAAGAGGUCCAUAUUUAUGCCUAUUCCCAAGAAAGGCGAUCCAACCGAAUAUGGAAAUUAUAGAACAAUAUCAUUAAUAUCACACUCAAGCAAAAUUUUGCUCAAGAUCAUUCAAAAAUGGCUGCAGCAGUAUAUCGACAGGGAAUGCCAGAAAUUCAGGCCAGUUUCAGAAGAGGACGUGGAACCAGCGAUAUGAUUGCUCAUGUCAGAUGGAUCCUGACAUAGAGAGAAUACCAGAAGGAUGUUUACCUGUGUUUU